AAGUUUGUUCUUCAUUAUCCAGACAGCACGUUAAAUUUGACUUAAGUUUUACAGCUGAGUUUAUACUACGGUUAUAGGCCUAGUACGAUAAUUAUAAAUAGUACACCAAUAGUAUCAAACAGUUUGUAACGAUUGAUGGAUAAGAUAAGAUAAGCUGUUUAUUGCACCAAAACGUCCAUUAUUGACAGCAUGCAUACAUGGUAUACAGACAACUCAUCCCAAAGACAACUCAUCCCAACUGGACUCAGACUAGCAAUUAUUUGCCCAUUGACUUCAAUGUUAAAUGGCUGUAACAUCACAGGCUGUAGCCACUCGGCAAACCUCAACAGAUUCCAGUACCCUACAUCGCUAGAUGUAGGUUACCGGAAUCUGCCGUUGUUUGCCGAGUGAGGGCUGUAGCUUUUUGCUCAACAUUCCGUUGGUUCCAAUCUUUGUAGGCACAAUGGGGACCACAUUUGGCAAUCUCCUCAUCAUAAUUUUGUAGGGGGUUGACCGUUUAGAUUUUUUGCUACGGGGAUUUGAAGUUGACUGGGGUGAAAAUCUCACUUUCGACACAAUGAUCGCUCUGCAGAAAGAAACUUCGAAUUCGAUCCCCUAUCCCCCCGCUCUAAUAUCAUCAGUACUAGGCUAUUACCCAAAACUGCUAUGAAAUUGCAAAUUUGAUCCCUUUUCUCCAAUUCUAGACCCAAAAGUCAACCAAAAAAAGCAGAAAGAGGGGAGAAAAAAAUUAAGGAAAAAAUUGUCUAUUUAUAACUCGCACUACAUUCGUCCAUCAUGAAUUAAGGGGAAAUAUUUACUAGUCUGAGUCCCACUAGCCUAUUACUAUUAGACAACUCAUUCCAAGAUAAAAGACAACUCAUCUCAACUUUAAAACAUAGGUCGAGAUAUAAGACAACUCAUCCCAACAAUUAUAAGUGCUAGUUAUAAUAUUUGUUUUAAUACAAUUGCCACUCUGACUCAGACCAUUCUGAUUUUGUUAUAAAAAUGCGUUAUCUUAAAAUUGAUAUUGUUGUUUUAAUAAAAAAAUUGAUAUUGUUGUUUUAAAUUUUAAGUUUUGGGCGCUCUGUAUACUUAUCAUAGCAUACAAGUUUCAUUUCCUUGUUUGAACCAUACACGUGACUGAAAAUGUUGGCCCCAGUCGUGCUGAUUGUUUCCAUAUCAUGGUCUGAUAGAAAUUCAUCAGAAUACAUACUUAUCUUUAUAUAUGAGUUUCAGUAUAGCUAAUAAUCUUGGGAUGAGUUGUCUUCUAACUUGGGAUGAGUUGUCUUAUAUAAACUUAUAUUGGGAUGAGUUGUUUUGGGAUGAGUUGUCUUUGGGAUGAGUUGUCAGGUAUUCGCAUACAUAUACACUUAGACAUAGUCAUAUACAUUUAAUAAUACAUAUUACAUAGACAACUCAAUACAUUCAUACAAACAAACAGUAUACUAUAGUGUUUCAGUUUGAUGUAGUUGCCACCGAAUUUGAUUUAGCUCUCUUAUCGAAAGCCCAAAACACAUAUAAAGCCACUGCCUUGGCAAUCAAUUUUGGUGGGUUAAAGAGAUUAAGAAAAUUGUAGGAAAUCCUAGGAUUUGCUGUGAAGGCUGAGUAUGGGCUUGGCGUAUUUCUUCAUACUUGCUACAGUAUAGCAAAAAAUGUUGCUCGUUUUCGAUCGAGUUUAAAUUGCAAACUUUGCAUAGACGCUGAUCAACAGGAAUUUUUUUGUAUCGGCCCCUCUCUAUUUCUAAGUGUUACACAAUUGAGGAAAUAUCACUUUACAGUAUUUACACCCCCCUUACAUGAAAUCGAUUAACUUUAUCAGAUUAUGACAUUGCACAGUGGUCAGCUGACACGGCCAACGACCACGUGGAAGUCAUUACUUAAUUACGACCCCUGGCCUGAGUUGUGAUGCAACAAAUAGCCAACUGCAAAAUCUCUUAGAUAUCAUUUGUCUGGUAAUGCAAUCUGUAUUUAAGACUUGAUCUGACAUCCUUUGUCUAGAAGGAGUUUAUAAGCAGAAACGAAAAGUAGAUAGGACAGAACGGAGGCCAUGGGCGCCUUAGCACGAGACGAGACGAAACGAGGGAGAGUCUCUGGGAGUUGGCACACUCGUGCCUAGCCAAGCUAGGACAUGGCUCCCUCAAUACAAGUUUUUCUGGGUAUCUUUAACAUUACGAUGUUUGUAUGUGAUAUGUAAGAAGUAGAGAAUAAAAGUAUUAUAAAAUGUUAAACUAGUCUUGUCAUCUGAACCUGACUUAAAGACCCAAUACUGUAACAUAUUUGAUGCAUACUGAGUCUAAGAGUGGUCAUAGCUUUCUUAUGGUCUCUAUUUUUAACCGAAUAUAAAAUGUCUGGAGAGUUCGUAACAGUAGGCUUUGAAAUGAAAUAUGUACGUAAUUUGUUGUUAUUGGAGUUAGAGGAUAUGUGGUAGAAGGAGUUAAAUUUUGAUUUGAGGGAUUUCUUUAUAUUCUCUUUAUUUAGCAAAUGAACAUGAUUUAUUUGGAGUUCCGAAGUUAAAUUAUUGAUUGCACCUGACCAAGACAAUUUUUCAUUUUUAAAGGAUAUAGUUUUAUCUUCAGAAUAGGCUGCUGAAAGUAGAGGAAAUAUUUGUUUCAUCCUGACAUCAUUUAGCCUUUUAUGAUACAUAAGCAUGCGAGUAUAAGUGUCUAGCGUUAGUGGGAAGAUUCAUAGUUCGGCAAUACAUCCAAGGUUGGUCAACUUAAGUGGUUGGUUCAAAAUGGAUUUGCAUAUUUUUAUAGUUAAUUGGUUUAGAUUAAUUUUAACCCAUUUUUCUAUUGCGAAUUUGAUAAUGGCCUGGUACAGUUUGAUCAAGACGUCGGUAGGAAUAUAGUCAGAUGAGCAUACUUUAUUUCUGAUACUGUACCAGGCUCUUUUUGCUUUUUUCCCUAAGUCUGACAUGGCCUGCUUAAAGCUAGAGUUAUUGGAUAUACAUACACCCAGAUACACAUAUGUAUUUACAUUUUCCAUGUUAUGAAUUCCAAUAUUGAACCUUUUAUGAAUUUUUUUCUUCUUAUUAAGAGAAGAGCAUUAUUUUUGAUUUAUCUGUGUUUACAUCUAAUUUCCAGUCUGAACAGAACUGUCCCAAGGAGUAGACUCAUUUGAAGACCAAUAUCUGUAGAGGAAAUCAGAACUAAAUCAUCAGCAAAGAGAAGGAAAAACUUGCAGAAGAUAAAAUGGCUACAAACCAGUACGAUAUUUGUGAAGAACUGGAGGUUUUAAGAUCCAUGUAUUGUCUGCCUGGAGAACUUGAUAUCAGUGAAGAUUCGAGGAAUGGAAGACACAUUGCAUUGAAGCUGAAAAAAGAGGAGGAAAAAGAAAGAAUUGUUCUGGAUGUCAAAAUAGCUCUAUCCAGUUCUUAUCCUAGUACAGCACCAGAAAUAUCCCUAUUUAGUUGUGAACUAUCAGCAAAAGUGUUAAAAAGCCUUCGACAAGAAGUCACAGAUAUAAUCAAGGAAAAUUUGGGAUCACCAGUUUUAUUGCAUAUAAUUACUUUUCUCUGUGAGAAACUUGGUGAGUUGUCAACAGAAAUAGUAGGCAGAUCCUUAAAUACAGAAAUUCACAAAAACAGAAGGAAUUGUAUUAUGCUGAUACAUUUAGAUCACAUGAGAGCUCGAGCAUCCUACAUUAAAUUGAUAAAGAAGUGGACAAAUGAAUUAAAUCUGUGUGGAAGACUUAUUUUCUUUAAAAGACUUAUUCUCUUAUUAUUAAUAGGAAGCACUUGCCAUUUAAAGGAGUAUAUUAUUCGCAACAGGAGUAGAAAUGUAGAUGUUGAUUCAAGAGGUCAGAGUUGUAAAGAAAGAAUGUUAUCAGUACUAUGUGAACAACCCUGGGAUAAACAGGUUAUGUUUCAUGAGUUUAAAGUUAUUGAUUGUGAAAGCAAUGAGGAAGUUAAAGAUAUAUUUGGUGGAGACUUGGAAGACAUUUAUAACACUUAUGUUUAUAAAUUAUCAGGCUAUGGACUGAAGGUGUAAAAGAAAUGAAUUUUUAAUAAUAUAAUUGUAACUGUUGCACACACUUACUCCCCUACUGAUUGGCAUGUGAAAAAAUCCAAAUUAUUCAACUAAAUUACUUAAUGAAAAAUACUACUUUAACCAAGAAAUAAAAACAAGUAAGAAAUUAAUGGGUAAAAUGUAACCUAUUGCCAGUCACAUUAACUUCAAUGUACAGAUAUGGAAUAGUAAUUCCAUACAUCAGUUUUAUUGUCAUACACAUCAUUUCCCAAUAAACAUUACAAUAAACAAUGAUGAAUAAUUUGAUGAUAGUCUAAUAAGUAUAAUAUAAUGUACAUUUAAUUUCUUCAGUUAGUAUUAAUUAUAUUACAUUUCAGUGUUGGCAUAUUAUGUCGACACCCUGUCAGUUGGUCUGCCAAUUGGCUUGUGAACAGGAUGUAAGCUACAGUUUUUGAUGGAUCUUUUUCAAAUUUGGUGAGAAGCAUUAGGUCAUGAAAGUAUGAAGCCAAGACAGUAAUCAACUUUAAACCGGGUACAUGAAUUAAAUAUGGAAAAUUAGAAUCUGAGAUUCGAUCUCCAUAACAAAUUACCAAGAAUUAUUUUUGUUGAAGUCUGGUUAUAUUAAAGGGAAUGGAAGCUUAUAAUUAACCUAUUUCCUACCGGAACUUUAUUUGACCCAAUUCUGGCAGGUUCAUUUCAAAAUGGAUUAAGAACCCUGGGAUGAACCCUAUUGAUAUUCAGCAUUCCGUGAUCUUCAGUAUACCAGAGGUAGUCCCCCUUUUCCGAAAACCUGUGAAAACAAUCAAAUUUAUAGGUUUUUUUACAGAUUUCUUUCACACUUGUUGAGACUGUUUAACUAGUGACAGAUAUGAAUGAUUGAACGUAAUGGAAAGUCAUAGUCAUCAUCAUAUAUUUACAGACAUAUUGCCCUGAACUUUUAAUCGCUCUGUAGAUUUUGAGAUUUUUUCCAAAGCUGCUUGGAUCGUGGUACCAGUAACCUAUCAGACUAUUAAAUUUUGUUUGCAUCAAUUAUUUGCAGCAUUAUUGUCAUGUGGAUGUAUAUUGUCGUUGCCCCUGUCCGUCCACAAUUUGUUUGUGGACACUCUACAGGUCACAAUUUUUAUCUGAUUUCGACGAAACUUGAAAUAUAGGUCUAUCUCCCAAAGAUCUUGGUUGCUUUCGGACCAUAGCUUCAUGGAUUAUGGCCCCUGAUUGUACGAAAAAAACAUUUUGAUCCGGUUUUGAUGGAACUUAAACUGCAUGUUUACAAUGCAAAUAUCUUGUUUCCUUUCGAUAUUCACGCAUAUCGGAUCGUAACUUCCUGAUUGUACGAAAAAUUGCGUUUUUAUCUUGUGGUCCCUCUAGAUGUCACAAUUUUUAUCCGAUUUAAAAAAAGGGUUUAGUAUAUUACCGUUACACCCUAAUGUUGGUUGAAUUCAAAUUUCGUGACAAUCGGACCAAAACUGCCGGAUAAAAUGUCUGCCCCUUGUACACAAAUAGUAUAAAAAUAUGGUAUAUCAUGGUUGUGGACCCUCUAGAGGUUACAAUUUUCAUCAGAUUUUGAUGAAACAUGUAAUGCAUGUUUAUAUCCAAAAGAUCUUGGUUUCUUUCGAUAUUCGCGCAUAUCGGAUCGUAACUUCCUUAAUUAUAGCACCUGAUUGUAUGAAAAAUCGCGCUUUUAGCUUGUGGUACCUCUAGAGGUCACAAUUUUUAUCUGAUUUAAAAAAAAAACAUUUUAGUAUAUCACUGUUACACCCUAAUGAUGGUUGAGUUCAAUUUUCGUGAAAAUCGGAUCAAAACUGUCAGACAAAAUGGCCGCCCCUUGUACGCUAAUUAUGUAAACAUAUCGUAUAUCAAGGUUGUGGACCCUCUAGAGGUCACAAUUUUGAUCUGAUUUUGAUGAAACUUGAAAUACAUGUUUAUAACCCAACGAUUUUGGUUCCUGUUGAUAUUCGCGCAUAUCGAAUCGUAACUUCCAGAAUUAUGGCCCUUGUUUGUACAAAAAAUCACGUUUUGAGCUUGCCUUGGUCCCUAUAGAGGUCUCAAUUUUUAUCUGAUUUAAAAAAAAACGUGUGAAUAUAUCACAGUUCUACACUAAUGAUGGUUGAGUUUGAAUUUCGUGAAAAUCUGACAAAAACUGACGGACAUACCCACCCGCCUCUUGUACGCAGAUAGUGUAACUAAAAAUAUGGUAUAUCAAGGUUGUGGACCCGCUAGAGGCCACAGUUUUUAUCUGAUUUGGAUGAAAAUUUAAAUAUAUGUUUUUAUCACAAAGAUCUUGGUUCCUUUUGAUAAUCACACAUAUCCGAAAGUAACUUCCUGGAUUAUGGCAUUUUUAGCUUGUGGAUUCUCUAGAGGUCACAUUUUUUUUUCUGAUUUUAAAACACGUUUAGAUAUAUCACCAUUGCACCAUAAUGAAGGUUGAAUUUGAAUUUCGGGAAAAAUCGAAAUGGCCGCUCUUUGUACAAAAAUUGUGUAUAAGUAUUUAAUACAAAGGUUAUGGACCCUCUCGAGGUCACAAUUUUUAUCCGAUUUUGAUGAAACUUAAAACAUAUCUUUAUAUUCCAUAAAUCUCAGUCGCUUUUGAUAUUUGCGCAUUUCUGACCAUAACUUUCUGGAUUAAUUGUACAAAAAAUUGUUUUUAGCUUGUUCGCUAUCCAUCUCUUGCAAAAUGUGGGCGUAUCCUGCGUGGCAGCUGCUGGUUUAUUUCAUAUGUGUCAUUGUUUGGAUAGUCAGAAGUGUGAAUGUCUUCUUAGAAUUGUUUGACUGGUUAGGCUUAUAAGGAUGAGCCCUAUUAUAAUUCAAAAUUGACCAUCAAUUGUUCUUGGAGUCAUUACCCUUGUCAUCAAAACCAAGAAAUGUAGUUCAAUAAUUUGUUAGAUGUUUUUAAAAAAACAACCUUGAUGCAAAAUUUCAAAACAAUAAAAUGGUGACAACUAUUAAAAACAAUCUGGGCUCAAGUUUCUUGUCUGGCAACCUAUCUUUUAUAUGGAUAUGUAGUUGUACAUAUAUUUACUUACAGACUAUACUGCCAGUAUAUACUAUAUAUAAUGAAAGACAAUUUUAUAAAUACAGUCACAUUUGUUAGUUACAUAGAUAUUCAAUAUGAUAAGAAAUCAAUUCAUUGUAUGUGCAAGGAAAGAAGGACACACAUCAAAUAAAAAUGGGCAUGUUAGCUCUUAAAGGAGGAAAUAUUUGAAGUCUAUAAUAGUGAUGAAUUAUGCUAUCUUAGUAGGUUAAAUGGUCAAUAGAAAGCCCAUAAAUAAUAACUAUCACAUUACUGAAGUGAUAUAGUGUCCCCAAAGAUACCUCUUUCAAUAGACCCUUUUGUACAGGUUAUAAACUGUCAAUUUUACACAGUCAAUCUUGACAAGAAACAGAUUCAGAUCUUUUAUUCUAUUGGCCAGUGAUAUAAAAUGUACACCAGUUCAAUGUUCUGGUUGAAAUUCUAUUUCAUUUAGUUUUCUGUGAAAAUUAGUUACUCUCUUUAUGUGUUUUAUAGGAAUGUAAUCUUAUAGUUGGUUAACAACCAGUCCACUUUAUAGAUUUCAAGAUGAUGAUGGGAAGUGGAACUACAGCUCCGAAAUUGGAUCGCAAAUCUUUGCCAAAAGAAAAGAGUGCUGAACACAAAACCUCGAUUGUUCGGAAAAUAUCUCAAAUCCAGAGUUCUGAACAUAAAACUUCGAUGGUUCGGAAAAUAUCUCAAAUCCAGACUCCAACAAAUGCCUUAAUCCGACCAAGAGCAAGCACCGUAACCAGAAAGGACAGGGCAAUCUCAGUCUCGAGUCGUGAUCCAGACAGAAAUAGUUGCAGCACUUUGGACCAACAGAAGU